GAUCCUGGCUCAGGAUGAACGCUAGCUACAGGCUUAACACAUGCAAGUCAGGGGCAGCAUGAGAUUAGCUUGCUAAUCUUGAUGGCGACCGGCGCACGGGUGAGUAACGCGUAUCCAACCUUCCCCCUACUCAGGCAUAGCCCGGUGAAAACCGGAUUAACUCCUGAUAGUUUCACUAGAUGGCAUCUGACGGUGAAUAAAGCUUUGCGGUAAGGGAUGGGGAUGCGUCUGAUUAGCUUGUUGGCGGGUAACGGCCCACCAAGGCAACGAUCAGUAGGGGUUCUGAGAGGAAGGUCCCCCACAUUGGAACUGAGACACGGUCCAAACUCCUACGGGAGGCAGCAGUGAGGAAUAUUGGUCAAUGGGCGAGAGCCUGAACCAGCCAAAAGGUAGCGUGCAGGAUGACGGCCCUAUGGGUUGUAAACUGCUUUUGUACGGGAAUAAAGUGACCUACGUGUAGGUUUUUGCAUGUACCGUAAGAAUAAGGACCGGCUAAUUCCGUGCCAGCCGCCGC
rnacentral:rRNA from 1 species